rnacentral:pre_miRNA from 1 species
UGGCAGUGUAUUGUUAGCUGGAUGAGUAUCUCAAUGCCCCCAGCUGACAUUCAGCUGCCAAU